AUAAAUGCGAUGAGCCGAUAAGUAGAAUAAUAGCGUACCGAAUACAGAAAGGAAAUCAUUGAUGAGAGAUUUCUUCUAAGCUAUCAUUCGAAGUAGCCGGUGAGCAUCUAAGAUAAAAAAUAAGUCUUAGACGUAAUAGAGCGAUAAUCUUAAAUGAGCUAAUAUGUUAAUGUUAGAAAUAAAGGUGGUACCACGGAUAUUUUCGUCCUUUAG
rnacentral:ncRNA from 1 species